rnacentral:rRNA from 1 species
AUGAACGCUGGCGGCGUGCUUAACACAUGCAAGUCGAACGAAGCACUUUAUUUGAUUUCCUUCGGGACUGAUUAUUUUGUGACUGAGUGGCGGACGGGUGAGUAACGCGUGGGUAACCUGCCUUGUACAGGGGGAUAACAGUUGGAAACGGCUGCUAAUACCGCAUAAGCGCACGGCAUCGCAUGAUGCAGUGUGAAAAACUCCGGUGGUAUAAGAUGGACCCGCGUUGGAUUAGCUAGUUGGUGAGGUAACGGCCCACCAAGGCGACGAUCCAUAGCCGACAUGAGAGGGUGACCGGCCACAUUGGGACUGAGACACGGCCCAAACUCCUACGGGAGGCAGCAGUGGGGAAUAUUGCACAAUGGGCGAAAGCCUGAUGCAGCGACGCCGCGUGAGCGAAGAAGUAUUUCGGUAUGUAAAGCUCUAUCAGCAGGGAAGAUAAUGACGGUACCUGACUAAGAAGCACCGGCUAAAUACGUG